AUAAUUUUAUAUUUAUAAUUUUAUAAACUGGGGAGUAAUCCUGGCUGCCUGACUCUGACAAAGUGGGAAAAUAUUUAGAGGUGUAUUGUUCUAAAGAUCAGUCUAAAAGAGUAUAUUCUGAUAUGCUGAUAUGAGUAUAUUAUGCUGAUAAGUAUGAGUAUAUAUGCAGAUAAGAGUAUAUUAUGAUAUGCUGAUGUGCUAUAUAAGGCUGAUACACUGGAAUAACAACAUUUUUGCAUUAGGCAAAAAAAAAAAGGCAGAAAAACAUAUCUCUUUAGAAGCUCUUUAGAAGUUCAUCUGCUAAAAAGUUGAUCAGAUCUUUUUUUUUUUCUUGUUUCUUGUUUCUUGUUUCUUGUUUCUUGUUUCUUGUUUCUUGUUUCUUGUUUCUUGUUUCUUGUUUCUUGUUUCUUGUUUCUUGUUUCUUGUUUCUUGUUUCUUGUUUCUUGUUUCUUGUUUCUUUUCCAGAAGAGAAAUAACCUGAAUGUUUUCCCCAGCAAAGUCAAUCUUCAAUGCCAUUAUCUUUUGCAUUUCAUAACCAUCAGGGCCCAGUUCUCACUGAAAUGGGAGACCACCAAAUUUUUUUUUUUUUUUUUUUUUUUUUUGCUUUUAAAUGUUAAGAAUUCCUCAGUAGAUGUCUGUGAUGUCAAAUUUGGUAGAAUUUGAAGAGAAAAAUGUUCAUAUUCAUAAAAACUAUUUAAUAGGUACUCAUUUUCAAUUUUGACCCCAACCUUAAAUAGUUCUGAAUAUAACUCAUGUUAUUAAUUGUCAUAAUCAAAACUGGCAUUGUUGUGCUUCAUGAACAAUUGAGAAAAGAUGAAAAGGCAAUAAACCUUAAUCAGGUCAGUGAUUAGAGAAAUGUAUCACAGUGUGAACACAUGGUGAUACAUACAUCCACUUUCCCCUUGUACUGAAAAACAUUGAGAGUCAGUUGUAUUUCCCGUGGACAUGAAAUGCAGAACAUCAAACAGCCGAGUGUCUGCAGAAUAGGUUUGAUACAUAAUGUGGUACAAGAGAGAUAUAGAAUACUUUCUGCAGUCUUGUAAGAGAUAUGCUGGCCAUGCCUCUUUUGAUGGCACCCAGGACGCAGUUGGUCUUCUGAGCUGCAAGUUCUCACUGCUGGCUCAUUUCAAGCUUUUCAUCCACCAGAACCCCCAAGUCCUUCUCCACAAGGCUGCUCUCAAUGAGUUCUUCUCCCAGUCUAUACUCAGGGGACAUAGGUGUUCACAUUGAUGGAGUAUUUCAAAAUGUGUCUGAGACUCCAACAGACCUGCAACAUUGGAUUUCCAAAUACAACAACACCUUCAGUUGAUUGAUUUGUGUAUGUCUCUGAUGUCUCUGUUUAUAAAAGAAGAAAAUAAUUCAGAAGACUAAGGCUCUAACCUAGCACUAUUGCUGGUUUGCUCAUGUGAUCUUUGAGAAGCCACUUCAGAUUCUAUGCCUUAACUUUCCCAUUUGAAGAGGGGAAAUGACGUUGCUUACAUCACAAGUGUUUAUCAGAGUGUUUUGUCCAUGUUAAAAAAAAAAAAAAAACAAUAAGCUACCUAGAUGGUGUAAAUUUUAGUAUGUUCCAACAGGAAUUCAUUAUCAUGUUCUAGCUGAAUUACUGAAUUACCUAUUUUGUAAUUAUUGUAACUCAUUUAUUUAAAUAAAAAGGCUUUAAUAAAGGAUUUUUUAAAUGUU
rnacentral:lncRNA from 1 species